UAGACCUGCUGGCCACUCUCUUUUUAAAGCACCCCAGGAUGCCAUUGGCCUUCUUAGCCACCAGGGCACACUGAUGGCCAACUUGUUACCCUCCAGAACACCCAGGUUAUUCUCUGCAGAGCUCCACUCCAGCAGUGGAAUCAGAGACUGUAGCAGCAAGGAGGUAUGAAUCCAACCCCAGAAGAAAUCCAAAGAGUCUGACUUCUCUGUACUUCUUGUGAGAGACCGAUUGAUUUGUUUGUGUUCAUGAGCAAAGGCAUAUUCAGACUGUGCUUCUGGAUAAAGAAACAUCAUCUGUGCAAAAGACAAUAUUUUGACAGAUUAAUUAAAAG